rnacentral:rRNA from 1 species
GUGCAGCAGGCGCGAAUCUUCCACAAUGGACGAAAGUCUGAUGGAGCGACGCCGCGUGCGGGAGUGAAGGCCUUAUGGGUUGUAAACCGCUAUCAGGGGGGAAGAACAUCGGAAUGAACAAUACUCAUUCCGACUGACGUUACCCCAGAGGAAGCUCCGGCCAACUCCGUGCCAGCAGCCGCGGUAAUACGGGGGGAGCAAGCGUUGUCCGGAAUUAUUGGGCGUAAAGGGCGUGUAGGCGGCGAGGUAAGUCGAAUGUGAAAUCUCACGGCUCAACCGUGAAACUGCGUUCGAAAACUACCCUGCUUGAGUACGGGAGAGGUGUACGGAAUUCCUGGUGUAGCGGUGGAAUGCGUAGAUAUCAGGAAGAACACCGGUGUCG